rnacentral:rRNA from 1 species
CAYWUGGCCAAGGUCCGAAACGAAGAAGCGAUGGGAAGCUUGCUUCUAUCAAUCUUAGUGGCGAACGGGUGAGUAACGCGUAAUCAACCUGCCCUUCAGAGGGGGACAACAGUUGGAAACGACUGCUAAUACCGCAUACGAUCUAAYCUCGGCAUCGAGGAUAGAUGAAAGGUGGCCUCUAUUUAUAAGCUAUCACUGAAGGAGGGGAUUGCGUCUGAUUAGCUAGUUGGAGGGGUAACGGCCCACCAAGGCGAUGAUCAGUAGCCGGUCUGAGAGGAUGAACGGCCACAUUGGGACUGAGACACKGCYCAGACUCCUACGGGAGGCAGCAGUGGGGAAUCUUCSGCAAUGGACGARAGUCYGACGGRGCAACGCCGCGUGAGUGAUGACGGCCUUCGGGUWGUAAAGCUCUGUUAAUCGRGACGAAAGGCCWUCUUGCGRAUAGUUAGAAGGAUUGACGGUMCCCSSRAUARAWAGCCACGGGCUAACUAACGUGCCAGCAGCCGCGAGUAAUACGUAGGUGGCARGCGKUGUCCGGGAAUUAUUGGGCGUAAAGCGCGGCGGCAGAGCGGAUUGGUCAGUCUGUUCUUAAAAGUUCGGGGCUUAACCCCCGUGAUGGGAUGGAAACUGCCAAUCUAGAGUAUCGGAGAGGGAAAGUGGAAUUCCUAGUGUAGCGGUGAAAUGCGUAGAUAUUAGGAAGAACACCAGUGGCGAAGGCGACUUUCUGGACGRAAACUGACGCUGAGGCGCGAAAGCCAGGGGAGCGAACGGGAUUAGAUACCCCGGUAGUCCUGGCCGUAAASGAUGGGKMCURGGKGUAGGAGGKAUCGACCCCUUCUGUGCCGGAGUUAACGCAAUAAGUACCCCGCCUGGGGAGUACGACCGCAAGGUUGAAMCUCAARGGAAUUGACGGGGGCCCGCACARGCGGGGGAGUAUGUGGUUUAAUUCGACGCAACGCGAARAAYCUUACCAGGUCUUGACAUUGAUGGACAGAMCUAGAGAUAGUUCCUCUUCUUCGGAAGYCAGAAAACAGGUGGKGCACGGUKGUCGUCAGCUCGUGUCGUGAGAUGUUGGGWUARKUCCCGCAACGAGCGCAACYCYUAUCUUAUGKUGCCAGCACUUCGGGUGGGMACUCAUGAAGAGACUGCCGCARACAAUGCGGAGGAAGGCGGRKAUGACGUCAAMUCAUCAUGCCCCUWMUGACCUGGGCUACAYACGUACUACAAUGGGAGUUAAUARACGGAAGCAAUACCGCGAGGUGGAGCAAACCCGARAAACACUCUCUCAGUUCGGAUCGUAGGCUGCAACUCGCCUACGUGAAGUCGGAAUCGCUAGUAAUCGCAGGUCAGCAUACUGCGGUGAAUACGUUCCCGGGCCUUGUACACACCGCCCGUCACACCACGAAAGUCGGAAGUGCCCAAAGCCGGUGGGGUAACCUUCGGGAGCCAGCCGUCUAAGGUAAAGUCGAUGAUKGGGGUGAAGUCGUAACAAAGGWAKCCSWA